ACGGAUAGCUUUUAGAUCUUCUCA
rnacentral:siRNA from 1 species